rnacentral:lncRNA from 10 species
GUUUUUCUUUCUGUGACACAAUCUACCUCAGCCAGUCUCUCCCCUAGCAGAACUGACCCCCCUGGUCCUCUGCCUCCUGUCCCCUGACCCCCACCCCAGUCUGGAUGUUCAGUCCUUCCCUGUCCUUCCCACCCUGCCAGGGUCCUUGCAGCCCAGAGGGUCCCUGAGGGUUCCUUAAGCCACCUGCCCUCCACAUCCAUUAGACAGGAGAAAGUGAGACCCAGAGAGGACCAAGGACUCACCAAAGGCCACACAGGAAGUCAGUGGCAGUUAGGAUUUCCCUGGGGAUGAGAGGUAGUUGGGUGUGUCUUAAUUUUGCCAGGAACAGAAGAGAACAGGAUGCUUUGGGUACCAAAUAUGGCAGGCCCUGCCCUCAGUUACCUCUAACCCCAGGAGACCAGUGUCCCCAUCUCCAGGGCAGACUUCUGUCUACCUGUUUUCUUAGAACUGACCCCCACGCUGUUGACUGUGUUCCCCAAACCUCUGCAGGCACCACACACACCCACAUCACGGCGCCUCCUGGCACUGAUGUGCCAUGUGCCUUGUAACUGUCACCCCAGCUGAACAGCACAGACCUCCCCACUCCCCCACACAGGGCUCCCCAAUGAGGGAGCCUUGCUUGAUCCCCUCCUGUCAUCUGCCUCAUUCUUGUGUCUCCCCCAAAUCUGCCUUACCCCCAGCCAGCUCCCUGCUACACCUGUGUCCCACAGAGGCAUGUCACCCAUGAGAGUCGGGAAAGACAGAGGGCAGGGAAGGUGAGGCCUGGGGAAAGUCCAGGCCUCUGGAUAAGGGCUGAGGGAGCUGGGAAUAUCCAGGGAAGGUCUCGCUUGCAGUCAACACCCUCCUAAGUACUCGAGUUCUGCAGGUUCUUCCCUUGGAAUUAAUCUGGACCUGGAGUCCACAGAAGCCUCAGACAAUAGGGAGAAGGUUUUCUGGGACGAAGGCUGCAUGGGAUGCAAACUCAAAUGCCUCGAGAUAAUGAAACUAAGAGUAAUGGAGACAAUAGGGAGUGUUGGGGACUCUGGCAGACAGGAGAGUGAGUGUGUGCCCUGCCUGUAGGUACUAAAAUUCAAAUGUUUGGGAAACUGCUGGCCACUCAUAUUUGGCCCACGUGCCACCAGUUUGAGACUUACGGUUCAAAAUGUUGAGAAGGUUCUGGAGUGUCCUGCCAAGUGGAAACCCCUCAGCGGAAGUCAGGGACAGAGGCUGUGGCUCCCUCUGAGACUUUGCUAGUCCAACCCUAAAUCCCCAUCACCUGGCUAUCUGAGAACUGAGCCCACUGCCCUCUCAGCUGAAAAGGGAAAUCUGGGGGGUCCACAGGGUCCCUGGUUUGGGAAUCAUCUGAUAAGGGCUACAGGCCCCUCCAGUGCCUCAUGGGGUUAGAGGCUGCUGGAGUCUUCUCCAGCUUGGGGGCCCCUGGUUAGGAGGAAUCUACAUUGGGUUGCAGGGGAGUCCAGGUGCAGGAUGUGGACUGAAAGCCAGGACCCAAGAGUCCCAUUCUGUGCUGGCCCCUGCCACCUUUGGCACCUGUCUCCCUCCCAGUUCAAGCUGUGGUGGGGCCUGCAGUAGAGGUUGGUAGGGGGAGCUGUAGUUUCUAUAUUAAAGUGCUUUGCAGUGUCUCAAUGGAAGGGAACAAGUGGGUGUCAAGCCGCAUGGGCAGUAGUAGGGUUGGGGUUUGAGCCCCCUUCCCAACCAUAGAGGCUUCUGAGACCUGGGGCUGGGGAGGAAAGGAGCUUCAAUGUGCCAUUCUGGUUGGGGAGAGGAUAGGACAUUUCUGGGUCCUUGGCUGCUGCCGGUAGAGGUAUGGGGAGGAAAAACUCUAGAGUGGGAGAUGUGGAAGUGGAAAAGGAAGGCCCUGUCCAGGCCUGGCCUGGUUUCUGGAGACAGAAAACUCCCCAGGGGACAGAGAGGUUACCCCCUUGUGCUUAGCUUCUGCCACCCUUCCCUUCUCUGGAGGAGAAGGCUGCCCUCUCCUCAGCAACCCUGGCCUUUAUUCUAUGCAUAACCACUGCAAGGGCACCCCUGGCCAGGCUGAAUGGGUGGGGGUCCCAGGGCACCUGCAAUAAUCUCAGAAUGGAGGGUAUCCUGGGACAAAGAGGGGGUACAGAAGGUGCCAGGGGGGAAAAGGUGAUUCCUCCAUCUCUCUCUCACCCAAAUCCCCCCAGAUCGAAUCUGACCCUUUUCCCUGGUCUCCAUUGUGCUAAACCACCGAACUUGGAGGAGCCUCAUAUAAACAUAGCCCCCAGCCCCACUGGCUUUCCGAACCCAUCAUGAAAUAGCUGGAAGGUAUCUGAACCGUUCCCAUAGCUCCCUCAUUAUUUUCUUCCCUGAGGAUCCUGUGGUUUAGGAGAUUUUUCUCCCAAACCAGCCUCAUUUCUUGAAGAAGAAUUCAUUUUCCCAUAUUAAAUUAACUCAAGCUGAGCUUCUGAUUGCAGAUAAAUGUUUCUAAGGCCUCAAGUCAACUUCUAGGGCUUGAAGGUGGGGGAAUAUAUGUAUUUUAUUGAGUUGCUUAAUACAAAAUUCUCAAAAGCACUUGUGGGCACUCAUUCCUGCCUUCACAGGCCCUCAGGGUCUGGGACCCCACGUUGGGAAUCAAUGGUUUAGACAUCCAGCAUCCUAUUUUACUGAAGGGGCAAGCCCAGAGAUGGGAGAUGGCCAGCCCAAGGUCACACAGCAAGUUGGUGGCAGGGUGAGACCAGAACCCGGUUCUUUUGAGGGUCCCACCAGAAUAUCCCCAGCCCUGAUCCUCCCCUCCAUGCCCCUGGAACUCUAGGAAUCACUAGCCAUGCCUGAGGGGCUAAUCUCCCUCUGUCAGCACAAUUCCGAGUGAUUCUUCCCCUCCCUGUCGUCUCUUCCUCCCUAACGGGCCCUCACCCCUGUCCUCUUCUGUUUCCUUUUCCUGGUCCCACCUCCUGGUAUUUACUACAUCUGUGCCAUCCCUCAUCCCCCUGACCCCCAUUCACCCUCCGAGCUUCCCCCAGGAGGGGGAGGGGGAGGGGGCCCCGAGCUGGGGCCUCUUUACUGAGACUCUUUUGUACACCACAAACUUUUUGUAUAUUUUUAAUUUUGCUGCGACAUGAGAUAUUAAAAGUCAUUUCAGUACGUGC